UGAAUCAAAUGAGCAGUAGGUGGGCAGGGUGACCUAGACAGACCCAGCUCACUGAAGCCUGUGCUAAUAAUGCCCCUGGUACAGCCUUUCUUGGGACAGUAAAGCCAGAACAAUGUGUCAGACUGAAGCAAUAUCAAAGCAAAUGCAAGCAGGGCUGGGCAGGCUCAUGUUGGCCCAUGACACUUCUUGACUUGGGAAUGCCCGCUAAGUACUUUUAUGUCCUACAGGCUUCAGUGACCCAACAAGCCCCAAAGCAGCCUGAGCAGCAGCAGUGUGAAAAUAGGACAAAGAACCAACUGGCUGGAUUUUGCCUCCUCUUCUGGCCUUGCCCAGCCCUUAGUAGAAGGGCAAAGGAACUCUGGAAUAAAUAAAAUGGGCACUAGGAGUUCAAGAGGCAGCAAAGAAUGGACUAAAAAAAGGACUGCAAAGACUGCAGGACUAAAUCUUCAUUCAAUAAAAUUUCAUUAAAACCA